CAGCAGCCACGGGAAUACAGAGGGUGCAAGCGUUAAUUGGAAUUACUGGGCGUAAAGCGCGCGUAGGUGGUUUGUUAAGUUGGAUGUGAAAUCCCCGGGCUCAACCUGGGAACUGCAUCCAAAACUGGCAAGCUAGAGUAUGGUAGAGGGUGGUGGAAUUUCCUGUGUAGCGGUGAAAUGCGUAGAUAUAGGAAGGAACACCAGUGGCGAAGGCGACCACCUGGACUGAUACUGACACUGAGGUGCGAAAGCGUGGGGAGCAAACAGGAUUAGAUACCCCGGUAGUCCCUGUCUCUUAUAC
rnacentral:rRNA from 1 species